rnacentral:rRNA from 1 species
GUAGGGAAUCUUGCGCAAUGGGCGAAAGCCUGACGCAGCCAUGCCGCGUGAAUGAUGAAGGUCUUAGGAUUGUAAAAUUCUUUCACCGGGGACGAUAAUGACGGUACCCGGAGAAGAAGCCCCGGCUAACUUCGUGCCAGCAGCCGCGGUAAUACGAAGGGGGCUAGCGUUGCUCGGAAUUACUGGGCGUAAAGGGAGCGUAGGCGGAUAGUUUAGUCAGAGGUGAAAGCCCAGGGCUCAACCUUGGAAUUGCCUUUGAUACUGGCUGUCUUGAGUACGGGAGAGGUGAGUGGAACUCCGAGUGUAGAGGUGAAAUUCGUAGAUAUUCGGAAGAACACCAGUGGCGAAGGCGACUCACUGGCCCGUUACUGACGCUGAGGCGCGAAAGCGUGGGGAGCAAACAGGAUUAGAAACCCCUGUAGUCC